CCAGACAUGGUGUAGAUUGGUAAGACCGCUUCGGCUUCGUAUCAAUGAAGUAUAUCGUGGUCUUGACGAAGCAGUGUGGGGUUCGAAUCCCCGUGUCUGGA